UCCCUCUCAGGCUCACAACUGGAGAGUUUCCAGUACUCUACCAGUGAUGGCUGAGGAAGGGAGAGUCAAGCAGAGGCAAAUCCAUUCCCUUCCUAGCUUGGGCAUUGGCUAGUGAGUGGAAGGCAAUUUGUUACAAGU